CCUGAAAUCCACAACCAUCUCCACUGUCUUUAGAGCGUUGAGCUCCAGGUUGUUCUGGCUGCACCACGACACCAGAUGGUCAGACUCCACCUGUAGGCGGACUCGUCCCCACCAGAGAUCAGUCCAAUGAGGGUGGUGUCAUCCGCAAACUUCAGGAGCUUGACGGACUGAUGGCUGGAGGUGCAGCUGUUGGUGUACAGGGAGAAGAGCAGAGGGGAGAGAACGCAGCCUUGGGGGGAACCGGUGCUGAUGGUCCGAGAGGCUGAGACAUGUUUCCCCAGCUUCACGAUCCUGGCGUAGGUUCCUGGGGAGUCCAGAUGCUGGAGGAUGUAGUGGAGGGCCAUGUUGACAGCAUCGUCCACAGACCUGUUGGCUCUGUAGGCGAACUGCAGGGGGUCCAGGAGGGGGUCGGUGAGGGACUUCAGGUGGGUCAGGACUAGCCGUUCAAAAGACUUCAUGACUACAGAGGUCAGGGCGACGGGCCUGUAGUCAUUGAGUCCUGUGAUCCUGGGCUUCUUGGGGACAGGGAUGAUGGUGGAGGCCUUGAAGCAGGCUGGUACGUGGCAGGUCUCCAGGGAGGUGUUGAAGAUGUCAGUGAACACCGGAGACAGCUGGUCAGCACAAUGCUUCAGGGUGUGAGG
ensembl:lncRNA